AUCAUUAUUAACAUAAUAGUUGCCAAUGAACUGUUAAAGAAACACUCCACCCACCAUAACAACUGCAGCCUGUUGUAGUAGUUAUGGUGUCAAGAGUGUGCUGGCACUAUACCAGUGUAAUUUGUCAAACCAAUUUUUGCAAACUUACAUUGGUCCCACUUAAAGUCGGACUGGGAAUAAAAAGCAGCACUGGAAUUUUUUUUUUUUUUAUACCAGUCCAAUAAUGCUUUGCACCAGUAUAGUGUUUAAAUAUAGAGGAGGAAAAGAUUCCAGCUGAAAAUUAUUACUACAACGUGAAAGAAAACACUCAUAGGGCUUCAAAAUAAACAACAUAGCAUAUUUAUUUUAAACAGACGUGCAUUUGCAUAUACUUAAUGUUUUAGUCCAACUACCAGGGCCGGCGCUACCAAAAGGCUGCACAGGCAGAUGCCUCAGGGCCCAUGAGCCCUGGGAGCACAAAUGUCCAGGUAAACGGCAGGAGGGACAAGCAUAGUGCUCUGCUCCUGCUGGCCAUUUCUUGUAGCUUGGCCAAGAAUUAGUACCUUGGCUGCCGAGAGUCUUUUUAGUGGGAGGGGGGCCAGCGAGGAAGCUACA